rnacentral:hammerhead_ribozyme from 1 species
UUCCAGAUGACGAGUCCCAAAUAGGACGAAAUGCACAUCCUGGAU